rnacentral:rRNA from 1 species
AGUGAACGCUGGCGGUAGGCCUAACACAUGCAAGUCGAACGGCAGCACAGUAAGAGCUUGCUCUUACGGGUGGCGAGUGGCGGACGGGUGAGGAAUACAUCGGAAUCUACUUUUUCGUGGGGGAUAACGUAGGGAAACUUACGCUAAUACCGCAUACGACCUACGGGUGAAAGCAGGGGAUCUUCGGACCUUGCGCGAUUGAAUUAGCCGAUGUCGGAUUAGCUAGUUGGCGGGGUAAAGGCCCACCAAGGCGACGAUCCGUAGCUGGUCUGAGAGGAUGAUCAGCCACACUGGAACUGAGACACGGUCCAGACUCCUACGGGAGGCAGCAGUGGGGAAUAUUGGACAAUGGGCGCAAGCCUGAUCCAGCCAUACCGCGUGAGUGAAGAAGGCCUUCGGGUUGUAAAGCCCUUUUGUUGGGAAAGAAAAGCAGCAGGUUAAUACCCCGCUGUUCUGACGGUACCCAAAGAAUAAGCACCGGCUAACUUCGUG